UGGGCACAAUAGGUGUUUUGCUUGUGUUGUUUGGUUGGAUCCUUGCUCUGGAACGAAAACAAUACUCGCAUGCAUCUUCAGUCGGUUCUCGUGAUACUUGUUAUCUCGAGUAUUGUACUGGUUUCUUGUGUUGCGUACCUCUUACGAUGGCAAUCGGCAGUCCCAACGUCCCAUUUCGCCUUUCGCCGUCCCUUCACGGGGCGGCGCGGGGUGAACCACGAAGCAAUCUCCGUGUCCCACUCCGCUCACAUUCGGUUGUGCUCGCGGACUGGUCCUCGGGGUAUUCGCUUGAGCUCUCGGAUGCGGUGCAUCUUAUACGGGCAUGAGGACUCGCGUCCUCUGUUUGCCCGAACAAAAGCUUUCGUCGCUCAGUUGCGAACGAUUGCGAUCCCCGUAUCGAGCCUUCAGGCGAGUGCGGUGACCGCUUCGUUGAGGAAUGCUACCUGGUUGAUCUUG
rnacentral:misc_RNA from 1 species